AGCAGCCAGAGAGGCAGGAGCUCCUGGAGUAGGGAUGUGAGAAGCAGCGAGACCCGCAGGUUCAUUUGCUAUCUCUAAGGUAUUUAACCUCCUAUUAGAAGGUGCUGAACUGGUAGCAUUUGCAUCCAAAAUUAAUUUUGAGGAAUGAUUCUACAGGCAAAAACAGGAAAUGCCAUUAACAACUUCAGCCUCAGCACAUUUCAAAGCAAGCUUUCUGAGUUUUUGCCUUAAAUAUAAACUUUGAAUGAAGAUAAGUAUCAAGACACCACAGCAGAAAAAAACAGUGCUUCAUGCUGCUUUACUAGUUAAGGAACUCCACUGAUUUCAGCAGAGUCCUGGAAUUAUUAAAUAUUUAUAUUACCCUGAGGCCCAGAGCCCUUUAUCAAGAUAGCAGUAUGCUGGGGACUGUAAAAAGCCAGAUGCAGAAACAGUCCACCUUAAAGAUGUUUUAGUCUAAGACCCUGAUCCUGCAAAUGCUUGGACACAUCCUUAACUCUGCGCAUGGGAGAAUUUCCUAAUAGCUCAAGGGAUGGCCCAUGAUGCAUAAAGUUAAAUGUGUAUUUGCAUGACUGAAGCCUCUGAUUUGUGUAAAGAUGAUCACAUCUGGCCCCACUGUUCUAAGCAAGAUGCAUUGAAGUUUGGUUGUACACUGAAAUGUGACUCUAAGAAAGGAAU